GUUAGCUAUCAGAUGAUGAAUAAUGUUUGAUAAUUGAGAGGCUGUAAAGCAGCUUUGUACUGAGUUUCUAACAUCAGACCAUCAAUCUUUUGAAAGAUCUGCAUGACUGAAUCAGAAGUUGCCAACAUGGACCAGAUCGAAGACUCUAAAAGGAAUACAGAGGUGAUGGAGUGGGCGGAGGUGUUUUCCAUCACCCAAAAGAUGAUGGUGGAACUGGGUGAUGCUUCCACCCCUCCUCUAAACCCUUCAUCCUCUCCUCCUCUUGACCCUGCUGAGUCUGACCCAAGCCCCCUCCCUCAGACAGAGUGGAUGCAUAAUGGAGCGUACAGUGGGUGCACUCCUAUGGGAGCUGCUCCCGAUAUCCCAUCAGUUGUUCCACGCAGCCUGCAGGAGACUCACCUGAACAGCACAGCAGGUGCUCAUGGACAGGAACAGAGAUGGGGACAUGGACAGGAAGAGCUACAGAGUGAGGACCGUCAUAUGAUUUUAGCAAACAAGGUGAGGACAUUUUCCUGGGACUGGUAUUCCCUACGUUGUGGGACAGUUUUUUUUUUUUUUUUUUUUUUUUUUUUUG